GAAAUGCGAUAAGUAUUGUGAAUUGCAGAAUUCAGUGAAUCAUCGAAUCUUUGAACGCACCUUGCGCUCCUUGGUAUUCCUUGGAGCAUGCCUGUUUGAGUAUCAUGAAAUCUUCAAAGUAAAUCUUUUGUUAACUCAAUUGGUUUCUACUUUGGUAUUGGAGGUCUUUGCAGCUUCACACCUGCUCCUCUUUGUUCAUUAGCUGGAUCUCAGUGUUAUGCUUGGUUCCACUCGGCGUGAUAAGUUAUCUAUCGCUGAGGACACUGUAAAAGGUGGCCAAGGUAAAUGCAGAUGAACCGCUUCUAAUAGUCCAUUGACUUGGACAAUACCUUUAUGAUCUGAUCUCAAAUCAGGUAGGACUACCCGCUGAACUUAAGC
rnacentral:misc_RNA from 1 species